UACGUAGGGGGCUAGCGUUGUUCGGAAUCAUUGGGCGUAAAGCGCGCGUAGGCGGCCCGGUAAGUCCGCUGUGAAAGUCCAGGGCUCAACCCUGGGAUGCCGGUGGAUACUGUCGGGCUCGAGUCCGGAAGAGGCGAGUGGAAUUCCUGGUGUAGCGGUGAAAUGCGCAGAUAUCAGGAGGAACACCGAUGGCGAAGGCAGCUCGCUGGGACGUGACUGACGCUGAGGCGCGAAAGCGUGGGGAGCAAACAGG
rnacentral:rRNA from 1 species